rnacentral:rRNA from 1 species
UACGGAGGGUGCGAGCGUUAAUCGGAAUCACUGGGCGUAAAGCGCGCGUAGGCGGCUUUUCAAGUCAGGGGUGAAAUCCCACGGCCCAACCGUGGAACUGCCUUUGAAACUGUAGAGCUUGAGUGUCGGAGAGGGUGGCGGAAUUCCAGGUGUAGGAGUGAAAUCCGUAGAUAUCUGGAGGAACACCGGUGGCGAAGGCGGCCACCUGGACGACAACUGACGCUGAGGUGCGAAAGCGUGGGGAUCAAACAGG